AGCUGCAGUUGUUCUUGCUGUUCAUGGAGCUGAACUGGUCUGUGUUUACUAUAAGAGGUGUCCUGGGGCCUGUUUCACGAAGCAGGUUUAUUGAAAACUCUGAGUUUCUUAACCCUGAAAUGAGGGAAACUCAGAGUUUUCUGUUUCACAAAGCGAGGUAACUUAACCCUGAGACAGAGGGGUAACUCUAGCCUGUUUCACAAAGAGGGGUAACUUAAACUCUCGGUCAGUUACCGCAGUAACAGACUCUAUGACUUGAACCUGGUCACCAGCAGGUUUAUCUGAGAAAACCUUGAGUGUCUCCGCCCUCUUUCAGCCACACACGCUGUUUCAUUUCCUCAUUCAUUCAGUCAGUAAGCGAGCGAGUUUUGGCGUAGAACAGCUUUUAUUAACGAUCCAGUGGAUAAAGGAGCAGCAUUACUGCACAGAUAAUUAAAUAUUUGUCGGUAGAUUGUUAUCAGACCGCGCAUAAAUGUUUUCGCAUUUCCGGACAAUUAUCUUUUUGAGCGGCACCGUUUCGUAAUCGUUUCAAGUCUAUAAUCUACCUAAACAACCUAAUCCGUCCUUACAUUUACAUUACCAGCUGCUGUGUUGCGUUGUGGUUCUUUGCAAAUGGAAGUUUUUAUAUAACGUCGGAGAUGCAGAGCACUUCAGUAAGACAACUGUAUGGAGGACGGUCAGAAAAGUGUUCUUGAACCUGAAACGGCUUUUACUCAUCAUUGUGGUUUUCCCUGGACACAAACCUGUCGGAGCAUCAAGGAGCAGUUCCACAGGAUUGCAGGAUUUCCCACUGUGAUUGGCUGCAUAGAUGCACACACUUCCCCAUCACAGCUCCCUCACAUCAUGAACAGGAAGUCCAUUCACAGCAUAAAUGUGCAGAUCAUAUGUGAUGCUGCACACAUCAUUUCUAAUGUGGAGGCCAAGUGGUCUGGGUCUGUUCAUGACUCCAGGAUUUAUGGAGAGUCUAACCUGAGCAACAGACUGCAGCAUGGAGAGUUUGAUGGCCUUCUGCUGGGUGACAGGGGUUACCAUGCCAACCCAGGCUGAUGACCUCAUACCCUGACCCUGAACCAGUCCCCCAACAGAACUUCUACCGGGCUCACUGCAGGACCAGAGCCCGGGUGGAGAUGACCAUAGGCCUGCUGAAAGCCCGUUUCCAGAGCCUACGUCUCCUCAGGGUGACCCCUGAGAGGGCCUGUGAUAUUACUGUGGCAUGUGUUGUUCUUCAUAAUAUUGCUAUUAGAGGAGAGCAACACCCUGCCCUACAAACUGAAGACCCAGAUGAUGAGCCCAUCCACCUGCAGCUAUCCAGGACAGCAGAGCAGUCAGAGACACCGUAUGCAAUAAUCACUUUAGAGUUUAAGUCACCAUCAUCACCACCACAGCAAAUAAAGACAUGAUACACAUUUCAUUUGGUCUUCUUUAUUCCCUACAAAUAAAAGAUAGUUCAGUUCAUGUUCCAGUAGUUAACAUAAUUCACCUGUGACCAUCACCACCUCUGACUUGUGCUCCAGUAUUUCAAUUUCCAGAUAUGCCCUCCUAAUCUGUUUUUGGAUUUUUCUCAGCAAAUGCAGUUUGUAAAUCUGUUUUACUGAUAACUGGGAAUACAUAGAGGACAUUAAAUUAUACAGUUGCACAUGAAUUCCACAGAA